UACGGAGGGGGCUAGCGUUGUUCGGAAUUACUGGGCGUAAAGCGUGCGCAGGCGGUGCUGUAAGACCGAUGUGAAAUCCCCGGGCUUAACCUGGGAACUGCAUUGGUGACUGCAGCGCUGGAGUAUGGCAGAGGGGGGUGGAAUUCCACGUGUAGCAGUGAAAUGCGUAGAGAUGUGGAGGAACACCGAUGGCGAAGGCAGCCCCCUGGGCCAAUACUGACGCUCAUGCACGAAAGCGUGGGGAGCAAACAGG
rnacentral:rRNA from 1 species